rnacentral:rRNA from 1 species
UGGGGAAUAUUGCACAAUGGGCGCAAGCCUGAUGCAGCCAUGCCGCGUGUAUGAAGAAGGCCUUCGGGUUGUAAAGUACUUUCAGUCGGGAGGAAGGCGUUAAGGUUAAUAACCUUGGCGAUUGACGUUACCCGCAGAAGAAGCACCGGCUAACUCCGUGCCAGCAGCCGCGGUAAUACGGAGGGUGCAAGCGUUAAUCGGAAUUACUGGGCGUAAAGCGCACGCAGGCGGUCUGUCAAGUCGGAUGUGAAAUCCCCGGGCUCAACCUGGGAACUGCAUUCGAAACUGGCAGGCUAGAGGCUUGUAGAGGGGGGUAGAAUUCCAGGUGUAGCGGUGAAAUGCGUAGAGAUCUGGAGGAAUACCGGUGGCGAAGGCGGCCCCCUGGACAAAGACUGACGCUCAGGUGCGAAAGCGUGGGGAGCAAACAGG